rnacentral:rRNA from 1 species
GACGAACGCUGGCGGCGUGCUUAACACAUGCAAGUCGAACGGAAAGGCCCUGCUUUUGUGGGGUGCUCGAGUGGCGAACGGGUGAGUAACACGUGAGUAACCUGCCCUUGACUUUGGGAUAACUUCAGGAAACUGGGGCUAAUAACGGAUAGGAGCUCCUGCUGCAUGGUGGGGGUUGGAAAGUUUCGGCGGUUGGGGAUGGACUCGCGGCUUAUCAGCUUGUUGGUGGGGUAGGGGCUUACCAAGGCUUUGACGGGUAGCCGGCCUGAGAGGGUGACCGGCCACAUUGGGACUGAGAUACGGCCCAGACUCCUACGGGAGGCAGCAGUGGGGAAUAUUGCACAAUGGGCGGAAGCCUGAUGCAGCAACGCCGCGUGCGGGAUGACGGCCUUCGGGUUGUAAACCGCUUUCGCCUGUGACGAAGCGUGAGUGACGGUAAUGGGUAAAGAAGCACCGGCUAACUACGUG